rnacentral:rRNA from 1 species
UACGGGGGGGGCAAGCGUUGUUCGGAAUUACUGGGCGUAAAGGGCUCGUAGGCGGCCAACUAAGUCAGACGUGAAAUCCCUCGGCUCAACCGGGGAACUGCGUCUGAUACUGGGCGGCUUGAAUUCGGGAGAGGAAUGCGGAAUUCCAGGUGUAGCGGUGAAAUGCGUAGAUAUCUGGAGGAACACCGGUGGCGAAGGCGGCAUUCUGGACCGACAUUGACGCUGAGGCGCGAAAGCCAGGGGAGCAAACGGG